rnacentral:rRNA from 1 species
CCCCAGCGCCACAAGUGGGAGCCACGUUUAUUGGGCCUAAAGCGUCCGUAGCUGGUUGGAUAAAUCUUCUGUGAAAUCGUUAGGCAUAACCUAACGGCGUGCAGAUGAGACUAUCCGACUUGGAACAGGGAGGGGUUAGAGGUAUUUCCGGGGGAGCGGUAAAAUGUGAUAAUCCCGGAAGGACCACCAGUGGCGAAGGCGUCUAACCAGAACUGAUUCGACAGUGAGGGACGAAAGCUAGGGGAUCAAUCCGG